AUACUUACCUGGCUAGAAGGUUAACCGUGAUCAAUAAGGCGGUUCCUUAGGGGUGAGGGCCUUCCAUUGCACAUCGGUAGGCUUGACCUCCUCCAUUAUCCCAAAUGUGGAUAACUGGAUAGCAUAAUUUCUGUUAGUGGGGGAUCUGCGUGCGCGCUAAUCCCCU
rnacentral:snRNA from 1 species